rnacentral:rRNA from 1 species
UUUCGCAAUGCCCGAAAGGGUGACGAAGCGACGCCGCGUGGGUGAGGAAGGCCUUCGGGUUGUAAAGCCCUGUCAGGAGUUAAGAAAUGUAAGUGUGCUAAUAUCGCAUUUACUUGACGAAGGCUCCAAAGGAAGUCACGGCUAACUCUGUGCCAGCAGCCGCGGUAAUACAGAGGUGGCAAGCGUUGUUCGGAAUUAUUGGGCGUAAAGAGCACGUAGGUGGGUUUGUAAGUCAGAUGUGAAAGCCUCCUGUUCAACGGGAGAAUUGCAUCUGAAACUACUGAUCUUGAGUAUAGGAGGGGAGAAUGGAACUUCUGGUGGAGCGGUGAAAUGCGUAGAUAUCAGAAGGAACGCCGGCGGCGAAAGCGAUUCUCUGGCCUAUUACUGACACUCAGUGUGCGAAAGCUAGGGGAGCAAACGGGAUUAGAUACCCCGGUAGUCCUAGCCGUAAACGAUGGGCACUAAGUAGAGGGGUUUU